rnacentral:lncRNA from 10 species
CAGGCUUGAGAGACUCAGGCGAGGAACAGAGAGCUACAGCUGCCUUGGGGGUCUUUUCAGCUACUGACUGACCUAGCUGUUGCCUGGGAACCGGCUUUUCUCCUUUUCUCCUAGGGUCCAGCACAUGGUAUGUGCACAGACAUGUUGUUUGAAUGAAUGAAGAUUUUCCCACCUGGGUCUGCUGCCUCCUUCAUGUUUUACCACCUGGUGUCACUUCAGAUUCUGAAACUAUCUGUGGCUCAUCUACUUAGGGAGGACACUGAUGUGGACAUUGCAGAAUAUCAGCUCCAGUUUGAUAAGGUGGUGCACAAUGAUGAGAGAGAGGACUUUGAGGGUUUUCUUCCUAGGUGCUCAAG